ACACUGUAAUUACGCAACAGAGUCGUUAAUUCUUAUCAGCGUUUUUCUUUUAUAUUUGCACGUACAUUUACAUGCAUACGGUAGCACCGAAGAUUGCGUUAAUUGUUUAGGGCGUUUAGGUGAUCGUGUAACAGCUGAAAAUUUAUGCACUUAUUAACUUUAUGGACUUUUGCACGAGAAAACGUUUUUACCACCUCGAAUAAAUUAAGUUCUUACGAUGAUAAUCGUUACUUUCUUUGAGUACGACUACUGCACGAAGUGUACUUAAAAGUUUUUCGUUUCUAGUAGAUCUUUUUUCCUCGUUUUUUGUAUUAAAUUUCGGUAUUUUCAUUUUUGUUCGUACAGGUGGGCGAGCGAGUCGUAUCUUUAGUUGGUCAUAGCCGUCAUAUGAACAUUUUAAGUGCCGUUUAAUCGGCGAUAUUUUAGCGUGUCAGGCUGGGGGCUGUAACUAUGUCUUGGACCUUUGGAUUAAACAGUACAAGCCGGACGUUGUCGGGGAAAUGAAUCCAUACUUUUUCAACUUUGUGACGGUUGCGACCCCGAUACUCGCUUGUGCAAAUUGGUAUUAGCUACCGAUUAGGGAAAUGAAAGCUACCGAUGUUCGUCGAUAAGUAGAACUUCCUCGGUCCUUUUCAUGGAAAGAAGAGUUCUCUGACGUGGCACCUUUUGAUUUCCUUCUAUCUAGUGGAUU